GGGUGGGAAGAAAGGUUAUUACAUAAGAAGUAAAAGUUAAAUAAGACUCAUGGUUUCAAGAACAAGGCCUCUGGGAGAGUAGCUCGUUCUAUGUUCUUGGAUGGUAACAGUGGUAGCAGCCUUCAGGUAAAUCUAUCCCACCAUCCUCCUUUCCCCAGUUACUCUGGUUGACCUUCUCUGGGUCAUCUCCUUCUUAUCUUACAUUCCUGAAGAGGAAUUUCAUGUGGUCAUCAUAGAGCUUCUAUUGAUACAAAUCCCUCAGACCCAUCCCUAUGGAAUUCAAAAACCAGAGCUUUUAAGGAAUCUCCAUUUGCCAUAAAGAAUGCCAAGGCACUGUCACCUUGCCUACCCCAUCUGACACUGGGAGUGGCUGCCUGGAACCUUGCUGAGGGCUGUGAGCCCACAUCCAGACUCACUGAGAGUGGUCAGGCUCUUGUUAUUAUGUCUGUUGUGGGUACAGAGAGGGAGCAGGAGCAGGUAUGCCAGCCCGGCAUCAUAAAGUGUGCACAUGUGUAAGUGCUGAAACACACUGUUCAUGACCUCAUCACAUUGAAUCUGUUACAUCUUUUCUACAGAGAACUUUUUGGAAGAACAUUUAAUAAUGUGGAAUUGCCUUAAUUAUCACUUACUCUUCUCUUUAAAAACCCAGUGUGAGUUAAUGGCCACUCUUAAAUUUUUAAUACAAAAUCUCAACAGCUCUUCUUUUAUUUUUAAUGUCCUCUUUUAAUAUCUUUUUCUUCAGUGUGCCAACAUUAUAUAAGGUGUGUACGACUACAGAUAGGGGUGCCCAGCCUAGCUGUGGCAUCUGUCUUCAACCUUCUAUUUUAUUCAUCAUUUUGGUUUGACAGUCUGAGCCUGGCAAUACACACUAGAGCCACUCUCCCAUUAUUUGACUAUACACAGAUGAGGGCAAGAGCCCCAGCUAACACACUGUUUCUUCUAACUCCAUUAGUUGCUAAGCAACCACUUCACUAGAACCUUCCUAUUCCAAGGCAGAAUAGGCCAGUUUAAUACGGAGUGUUUGGGUUGUCACAUGUGUUCAAGUUCACUCCUUCUGUAAACACAUCUGAUGCUCUGUCCGUGCAGGCUAUGUGAAAAGCCUCCCUAUCUUACAAAAUGGGAAAAAAAGAAUUUAGGCAUCCUCAAGAGGUCUAAUACUUCUGAAAGAUGAAGCUAAGGUUGGCUGUAUCACUGUGAUUAAAUAAGCAUGAGUGAAACUGAUUUGAAAUAAAACAGCAUGAAAAUUGUAGUUUUAAAAACA